AUUGAACGCUGGCGGCAUGCCUAACACAUGCAAGUCGAACGAGUGGCGGACGGGUGAGUAAUGUCUGGGAAACUGCCUGGUGGAGGGGGAUAACUACUCGAAACGUUAGCUAAUACCGCAUAUCAUCGGAUGUGCCCAGAUGUGAUUAGCUAGUGGGUGGGGUAAAGGCUCACCAAGGCGACGAUCCGUAGCUGGUCUGAGAGGAUGACCAGCCACACUGGGACUGAGACACGGCCCAGACUCCUACGGGAGGCAGCAGUGGGGAAUAUUGGACAAUGGGCGCAAGCCUGAUGCAGCCAUGCCGCGUGUAUGAAGAAGGCCUUCGGGUUGUAAAGUACUUUUAGCGGGGAGGCGUUACCCGCAGAAGAAGCACCGGCUAACUACGUGCCAGCAGCCGCGGUAAUUC
rnacentral:rRNA from 1 species